rnacentral:rRNA from 1 species
AACGAACGCUGGCGGCAGGCCUAACACAUGCAAGUCGAGCGCGCCCUUCGGGGUGAGCGGCGGACGGGUGAGUAACGCGUGGUAACUUGCCCUUCUCUACGGAAUAGCCUCGGGAAACUGAGAGUAAUACCGCAUACGCCCUUUGGGGGAAAGAUUUAUCGGAGAAUGAUCGGCCCGCGUUGGUUUAGGUAGUUGGUGGGGUAAUGGCACACCAAGCCGACGAUCCAUAGCUGGUUUGAGAGGAUGAUCAUCCACACUGGGACUGAGACACGGCCCAGACUCCUACGGGAGGCAGCAGUGGGGAAUAUUAGACAAUGGGGGCAACCCUGAUCAAGCCAUGCCGCGUGAGUGAUGAAGGCCUUAGGGUUGUAAAGCUCUUUCAGCUGGGAAGAUAAUGACGGUACCAGCAGAAGAAGCCCCGGCUAACUCCGUG